rnacentral:rRNA from 1 species
CAAUAGCGUAUAUUUAAGUUGUUGCAGUUAAAAAGCUCGUAGUUGGAUUUCGGGUUGGCUUCAGCGGUCUCGCUUUGCGUUUGUACUGCCGCAGCCUUCCUUCUUGCUGGGGACGGUCCUCCGGGCUUCAUUGCUUGGGGUCUGGAAUCAGCGACGUUACUUUGAGUAAAUUAGAGUGUUCAAAGCAAGCCUACGCUCUGAAUAUAAUAGCAUGGGAUAACACGACAGGACUCUGGCCUAUCGUGUUGGUCCGUAGGACCAGAGUAAUGAUUAAGAGGGACAGUCGGGGGCAUUCGUAUUCCGUUGUCAGAGGUGAAAUUCUUGGAUUUACGGAAGACGAACAUCUGCGAAAGCAUUUGCCAAGGAUGUUUUCAUUGA